CGCCUCUUGAACAUAUAAGAGGUCCAGCCUGCCCAGUGACCCUGUUUAACGGCCGCGGUAUCCUAACCGUGCGAAGGUAGCGUAAUCACUUGUUCUCUAAAUGUGGACUAGUAUGAACGGCAUCACGAGGGUUAUACUGUCUCCUUUUUCUAAUCAGUGAAACUAACUUCCCCGUGAAGAGGCGGGGAUAAAACUAUAAGACGAGAAGACCCUAUGGAGCUUUAAACAACAUAGCACUUGCCGCAUAAUAAAGAUCUCCGGAUCUCUUACUCCAAGGCAAUAUGACUAUUAGUUUUUGGUUGGGGUGACCGCGGAGCAAAAUUUAACCUCCACGUUGAAAACUUUAAGCUGAGAAUCACCUUUCUAGGCAUCAAUAUAUUGACACUAAUUGAUCCAAUACAUUUGAACAACGAACCAAGUUACCCUAGGGAUAACAGCGCAAUCCACUUCAAGAGCCCCUAUCGACAAGUGGGUUUACGACCUCGAUGUUGGAUCAGGGUCUCCCAGUGGCGCAGCCGCUACUAAAGGUUCGUUUGUUCAACGAUUGAAACCCUACG
rnacentral:rRNA from 1 species